rnacentral:rRNA from 1 species
UGUAAGCGUAUACCAAAGUUGUUGCAGUUAAAACGCUCGUAGUCGGAAUUUGGCAGUUCCGGAUGUGUGCACGUCGUGUGCGCACUUCGCGGGGAUUGCUUUUGUGGUCUUGCGUAGGAUGAGGCACUUUUAUUAGUGAACGUCCUCACGCAACCACUUUUUACUGUGAGAAAAUCAGAGUGCUCAAAGCAGGCAUUUGCCGUGAACGUAUUAGCAUGGAAUAAUAGAAUAGGACUCGGUUCUAUUUUGUUGGUUUGUUGGGACUGAGUAAUGAUUAAGAGGGACAGUCGGGGGCAUUUGUAUUUCGGUGCUAGAGGUGAAAUUCUUAGAUUACCGAAAGACAAACUGCUGCGAAAGCGUCUGCCAAGGAUGUUUUCAUUGA